rnacentral:rRNA from 1 species
UACAGAGGGUGCGAGCGUUAAUCGGAAUUACUGGGCGUAAAGCGAGCGUAGUCGGUUAUUUAAGUCAGGCGUGAAAUCCCCGGGCUCAACCUGGGAAUUGCAUUCGAUACUGGAUAGCUAGAGUUCGGCAGAGGGAAGCGGAAUUUCCGGUGUAGCGGUGAAAUGCGUAGAUAUCGGAAGGAACAUCAGUGGCGAAAGCGGCUUCCUGGACCAGAACUGACGAUCAGGCUCGAAAGCGUGGGGAGCAAACAGG